rnacentral:rRNA from 1 species
UGGCGAAUGAACAAAGACAUGGUCAUUUUGAAAAUUGUGGUCUUAGAUCAUGAAUUGUAUUUUCAAAAUGCAUUGCUAACACAACUGCACAUGUUUGUUUAUUGGAAAGAACAUCACAAAGGGUGACAAUCCCAUGUGUCAUGUGUAUGUUUUGUGUACAGCGUGCAUUAUAUGAAUCACAUUCAUUGACAAUUGAAUGCAAAUAGAAUGGUAAAUUUCAUUUAAUCAUAAAUAUGUUGUUGACAACUUAUAGCAAACAAAUACCAUGAGGGAAAUGUGAAAAGGAUUUUGAAAAGAAAAUUAAAAGAGCUUGCAAUUGCUGAACUGAUAAGCAAACAAAACAUACGUGUGUAUGCAAGAUUGUUGUAAUGCUUAGCAUCCUAUGCAAGGCUAUUGCAAUGAUUUUUUGUAUAGUGAUGCUACCUUUUUUUAGAAUUUGGAAUGUCUUUUUUUGAGUGUGAAUGGAAUUUUGUUUGUUAGCAAAGGAAUGCACUUUUAGAUUCAUUGUUUGAUUUGAUUUAAAAAUGUUUGUGACACAUGUCUUUGUUUUAGUUUCAUGCUUCAACCAAGGACAUUGUGUUUGAUCCAUAUCAGCAAUACAUGUUUUGUUUGACCCGUCUUGAAACACGGACCAAGGAGUUUAAUUUAUGUGCAAGAUCAUGAAACUGACAUUUGUAUAUCAAUGAAAAUAUUUUGUUGGGAUUUGUGCACCAACAACUGAUAAGUUGUGUGACGCGACGUUGAGUUUGAGCAUGUUGAUUAAAACCCGAAAGAUGGUGAACUAUGCCUGAACAGAAUGAAGUCAGAGGAAACUCU